rnacentral:pre_miRNA from 1 species
AGAUCGAAAUUCAUUCGGUCCCUGAGGUUGAUUACUCACUUUCUCUUUGAUGUUCAGUGAGUUAAUCCACCUGAGGCACCGAAAGAUCGAUC